UGCACAGCCAGCGGCUAGAUGGUUACCGGGGAGACUUUGAGACCUUCAUCAAGAGUAAGCAGGAGCGGCUGCUCAACCAGCAGCGUGAAUAUGAGGCGCAGCAGCAGUAUCGCCAGCACAUCCAGGUUUUCAUUGACCGGUUUCGCUACAAUGCCAACAGGGCCUCUCAAGUGCAGAGUAAACUCAAGAUGCUGGAGAAGCUGCCUGAGCUGAAGCCUGUGGACAAGGAAUCAGAGGUCGUAAUGAAGUAAGUGCUGGGCCAGUGGGGCUGGUGGGGAAUUGCUUGCUUCCAGCUGCCCCCACAUCCUCACCCCUACCUCCUGCAGGUUCCCUGAUGGGUUUGAGAAGUUCUCGCCGCCAAUUCUGCAGCUAGAUGAGGUGGAUUUCUACUACGAUCCAAAGCACGUCAUCUUCAGUCGCCUCUCUGUGUCUGCUGAUCUCGAGUCUCGCAUCUGUGUGGUUGGAGAGAAUGGGGCUGGGAAGUCUACCAUGCUGAAGCUGCUUUUGGGGGAUCUGGCACCUGUUCGGGGCAUCAGACACGCUCACAGGUCAGGCCCACCCGCACCCCUGCCCCCAUGAGCACAUUUGCAGGCACCCAUGCUGCCUGCGCUCCUUCGUGGCCAUUGCCUUUGUCUGCUUUUCCACCUCGGCUUCUGCCUGCAGGAAUCUGAAGAUUGGCUAUUUCAGCCAGCACCAUGUGGAGCAGCUGGACCUAAACGUCAGUGCUGUGGAACUGCUGGCACGCAAGUUUCCUGGGCGGCCUGAGGAGGAGUACCGUCACCAGCUGGGUCGGUAUGGCAUCUCCGGAGAACUGGCCAUGCGUCCUGUUGCCAGCUUGUCUGGGGGCCAGAAGAGCCGAGUGGCCUUUGCUCAGAUGACUAUGCCCUGCCCCAACUUCUACAUUCUGGAUGAACCCACAAACCACCUGGACAUGGAGACCAUUGAGGCUCUGGGCCGUGCCCUCAACAAUUUCAGGGGUGGUGUGAUUCUGGUGUCCCACGAUGAGCGCUUUAUCAGGCUGGUGUGCCGGGAGUUGUGGGUGUGCGAAGGAGGCGGCGUCACCCGUGUGGAAGGAGGAUUUGACCAGUACCGCGCCCUCCUCCAGGAACAGUUCCGCCGCGAAGGCUUCCUCUAGGGCCAUCAGGCUGAGGACUCGCCCAGGACAUGGACUGGCCUCUCAGACCCCUGGGCCACCACAUAGGCCACCACUCCAGGCCGUGGACUUCCCCCAACUUGGGGACAGCCUUAUUCCCAAAUGUCUCUAUCCUUUUGACUGGAGCAUCUUCUGCACAACCUUGGGAGCCCAUCCAAGGGUUGGUGAGGACUGGUCUCCCGGGGGCGGGGGUCUGGGGGGUACCCUCUGGGGUUAUAGAUUCCCCCACUGCCCCAGCUCUGACUGGACCCCAAGUGGCUGCUAUGUAAAUUAAAUCUCUCCCCGC
rnacentral:sRNA from 1 species